rnacentral:siRNA from 1 species
CCGGUAAACUUUUCUCGACGAUUC